rnacentral:rRNA from 1 species
AUUGAACGCUGGCGGCAGGCCUAACACAUGCAAGUCGAACGGUAACAGGAAGCAGCUUGCUGCUUUGCUGACGAGUGGCGGACGGGUGAGGAAUGUCUGGGAAACUGCCUGAUGGAGGGGGAUAACUACUGGAAACGGUAGCUAAUACCGCAUAACGUCGCAAGACCAAAGAGGGGGACCUUCGGGCCUCUUGCCAUCGGAUGUGCCCAGAUGGGAUUAGCUUGUUGGUGGGGUAACGGCUCACCAAGGCGACGAUCCCUAGCUGGUCUGAGAGGAUGACCAGCCACACUGGAACUGAGACACGGUCCAGACUCCUACGGGAGGCAGCAGUGGGGAAUAUUGCACAAUGGGCGCAAGCCUGAUGCAGCCAUGCCGCGUGUAUGAAGAAGGCCUUCGGGUUGUAAAGUACUUUCAGCGGGGAGGAAGGGAGUAAAGUUAAUACCUUUACUCAUUGACGUUACCCGCAAAAGAAGCACCGGCUAACUCCGUG